UCUUCAUAACAUUAUUGUUGCAGAAUACUUUCACUGGAAUAUGCUACGAAACCUUGCUGGCAUCUAUUAUGAACAAAGUCAACUUGACAUGGCAAUUCUGCAUUACAAGCAAGCUAUCAACUGUGAUUCUACCUUUAUUGAAGCUUACAAUAAUCUGGGGAAUGCUCUCAAAGACGCUGGACAUGCUCUCAAAGACGCUGGACAUUAUAGGUCAUGCUUUGCUUUACAAC